UACAAGCUCCAACUUUCUCACCACGAACUACCAACACCUGUUGAUCCCAAAAUCCUCACUCAUACUCACACGCAAGACAAGAUAUGGCAUGCCUUUACUUUGUUGUCGAUUGAGAAGACUUGAGGAUCUAAAUACGCCAUCAUCCAUUAUUAAUAUGAAUCACUGGCCGAGUAGCUCUCUGGGUUCUAGCAACCUACCAACAUCUGUCGAUCCCCAAGUCCUCACUCAUACUCACACGCAAGACAAGAUAUGGCAUGCCUUUACUUUGUUGUCGAUUGAGAAGACUUGAGGAUCUAAAUACGCCAUCAUCCAUUAUUAAUAUGAAUCACUGGCGGAGUAGCUCUCUGGGUUCUAGCAACCUACCAACAUCUGUCGAUCCCCAAGUCCUCACUCAUACUCACACGCAAGACAAGAUAUGGCAUGCCUUUACUUUGUUGUCGAAUGAGAAGACUUGAGGAUCUAAAUACGCCAUCAUGCAUAUUAAUAUGAAUCACUGAUGGAGUAGCUCUCUGGGUUCUGGCAGGAGAGAUGGAGAGGAUGUGAAAUGCUAAGGGGAAAAAACAAGGGCACAGUUCUGAGGUUAUUGAGUUAGCCUGAGAGGAUUUGAAAAGGAUAAAAAUUUACUAAUAUUAAGCAUAUCAAGAAAUUGAAUGAGCUGCUGUUCAACAGGUCGUAAGUAAUUUGAACUUGUGUUGUUGUGCUGGGUUAGGACUUGGUAGAGAUGGAGGCUUUUGAGUUUAGACUUGAAGAUAAAAGGUUUGUAGUUGAAUUGUAUUUGCAUUGGGUUACAUUUGAGGGCAAAGGAAUAACUUUAGUGAUUGGAAUUUAAAAUUUCUGUUGGAGGUUUCCUCGGCAGCAACUUGAGAUGGGUAUGUUUGAGUGGUUAAAUUGUUGGAAAUUAGUUGGAAGAAUUGCUGGUAAUCAAGGUUUAUGUUGAUAUGGUUGAUAAGAGGUAAUAAUUUCGACAAGACUUUGGAUGCUCCACAUUUAUACCCAAAGCACUGUCUGAGCAGAAUCCUGAAACAGAAGUGCAUAAAGAGGGAGGGAACAAAAGGACAGCAGAUCAUAGAGGCAGCUUUGUGGAAGGUCCUCAACUAAAGUAUCAAAUGCCCUGUUUUCUAGGAAAUUGCAACGAUUGUGAUUGUGUCUUUGAAUAUCAAUUCACCUGUAUUUGUGGUAUAAACCUUAAAUUAGAACUUUACUUAACUCAAAACUAGUAAGGAUUUGGUCUCAAAAGCAAAGUAAGCAAUGCCUAAGCUGUAAAGAAUGACAUUAGGUGUAAUGGACAGAUUUGAUCCCUUGGCUUCACCAUAGCUUUGUCAUCAGUUUAUUGUAGUUUGCAAGAGUUGCCUUUCUUGGCAGUGACAAGUUUACACCAUCUUGAUUGAGCUGUAUGAUGUGGUAAUAUUCUAUCGAUGCAGUGCACCUAGAAACUUGCAGGUUUUUCUGAAACGGUUAAUUUUCUUGUUAUCUAGUCCUUUCAUGAACAUGGUCAUCUGUCCUUAAGUGCUUGCUAAGGUUGGAGCCUCUGUUUUUCUGAAACACGCCUUUGAUGAAUUCUUUUAAA